CCUACGGGUGGCAGCAGUGAGGAAUAUUGGUCAAUGGACGAGAGUCUGAACCAGCCAAGUAGCGUGAAGGCUGACUGCCCUAUGGGUUUUAAACUUCUUUUAUAUGGGAGUAAAAUGUUCCACGUGUGGGAUUUUGUAUGUACCAUAUGAAUAAGGAUCGGCUAACUACGUGACAGCAGCCGCGGUAAUACGGAGGAUCCGAGCGUUAUGCGGAUUUAUUGGGUGUAAAGGGAGCGUAGGUGGCUGGUUAAGUCAGUUGUGAAAGUUUGCGGCCCAACCGUAAAAUUGCAGUUGAAACUGGAAGGCUUGAGUGCAGUAGAGGUGGGCGGAAUUCGUGGUGUAGCGGUGAAAUGCUUAGAUAUCACGAAGAACUCCGAUUGCGAAGGCAGCUCACUGGACUGCAACUGACACUGAGGCUCGAAAGUGUGGGUAUCAAACAGGAUUAGAUACCCGUGUAGUC
rnacentral:rRNA from 1 species